rnacentral:rRNA from 1 species
GACAGAGGGUGCAAACGUUGUUCGGAAUUACUGGGCGUAAAGCGUGUGUAGGCGGCCUUGCAAGUCAGACGUGAAAUCCCUCAGCUUAACUGGGGAACUGCGUCUGAUACUGGAUGGCUUGGAUUCGGGAGAGGAAUGCGGAAUUCCAGGUGUAGCGGUGAAAUGCGUAGAUAUCUGGAGGAACACCGGUGGCGAAGGCGGCAUUCUGGACCGACAUUGACGCUGAGGAGCGAAAGCCAGGGGAGCAAACGGG